rnacentral:rRNA from 1 species
AUCUACCUAGUAGUACGGAAUAGCCAUUAGAAAUGAUGGGUAAUACUGUAUAAUCCCCGCGGGGGAAAGAUUUAUCGCUAUUAGAUGAGCCUACGUUAGAUUAGCUAGUUGGUAAGGUAAUGGCUUACCAAGGCUAUGAUCUAUAGCUGGUCUGAGAGGACGAUCAGCCACACUGGAACUGAGAUACGGUCCAGACUCCUACGGGAGGCAGCAGUGGGGAAUAUUGGACAAUGGGCGAAAGCCUGAUCCAGCUAUGCCGCGUGAGUGAAGAAGGCCUUCGGGUUGUAAAACUCUUUCAAUAGGGAAGAUAAUGACGGUACCUAUAGAAGAAGUCCCGGCAAACUCUGUGCCAGCAGCCGCGGUAAUACGGAGGGGGCAAGCGUUGUUCGGAAUUAUUGGGCGUAAAGGGCACGUAGGUGGACUAGUAAGU